AUUGAACGCUGGCGGCAGGCCUAACACAUGCAAGUCGAGCGGAUGAAGGGAGCUUGCUCCUGGAUUCAGCGGCGGACGGGUGAGUAAUGCCUAGGAAUCUGCCUGGUAGUGGGGGAUAACGUCCGGAAACGGGCGCUAAUACCGCAUACGUCCUGAGGGAGAAAGUGGGGGAUCUUCGGACCUCACGCUAUCAGAUGAGCCUAGGUCGGAUUAGCUAGUUGGUGGGGUAAAGGCCUACCAAGGCGACGAUCCGUAACUGGUCUGAGAGGAUGAUCAGUCACACUGGAACUGAGACACGGUCCAGACUACUACGGGAGGCAGCAGUGGGGAAUAUUGGACAAUGGGCGAAAGCCUGAUCCAGCCAUGCCGCGUGUGUGAAGAAGGUCUUCGGAUUGUAAAGCACUUUAAGUUGGGAGGAAGGGCAGUAAGUUAAGACCUUGCUGUUUUGACGUUACCAACAGAAUAAGCACCGGCUAACUUCGUG
rnacentral:rRNA from 1 species